GACGAACGCUGGCGGCGUGCUUAACUCAUGCAAGUCGAACGGAAAGGCCCUGCUUUUGUGGGGUGCUCGAGUGGCGAACGGGUGAGUAACACGUGAGUAACCUGCCCUUGACUUUGGGAUAACUUCAGGAAACUGGGGCUAAUACCGGAUAGGAGCUCCUGCUGCAUGGUGGGGGUUGGAAAGUUUCGGCGGUUGGGGAUGGACUCGCGGCUUAUCAGCUUGUUGGUGGGGUAGUGGCUUACCAAGGCUUUGACGGGUAGCCGGCCUGAGAGGGUGACCGGCCACAUUGGGACUGAGAUACGGCCCAGACUCCUACGGGAGGCAGCAGUGGGGAAUAUUGCACAAUGGGCGGAAGCCGGAUGCAGCAACGCCGCGUGCGGGAUGACGGCCUUCGGGUUGUAAACCGCUUUCGCCUGUGACGAAGCGUGAGUGACGGUAAUGGGUAAAGAAGCACCGACUAACUACGUG
rnacentral:rRNA from 1 species